rnacentral:rRNA from 1 species
UACGUAGGGUGCAAGCGUUGUCCGGAAUUAUUGGGCGUAAAGAGCUCGUAAGCGGUUUGUCGCGUCUGCUGUGAAAACUCGGGGCUUAACUCCGGGCCUGCAGUGGGUACGGGCAGACUAGAGUGCGGUAGGGGAGACUGGAAUUCCUGGUGUAGCGGUGAAAUGCGCAGAUAUCAGGAGGAACACCAGUGGCGAAGGCGCCACUCUGGGCCGUAACUAACGCUGAGGAGCGAAAGCGUGGGUAGCAAACAGG